GACGUAGGGCGCGAGCGUUGUCCGGAUUUAUUGGGCGUAAAGAGCUCGUAGGCGGCUUGUCGCGUCGUCCGUGAAAACCCGGGGCUCAACUCCGGGCUUGCGGGCGAUACGGGCAGGCUAGAGUUCGGUAGGGGAGACUGGAAUUCCCGGUGUAGUGGUGGAAUGCGUAGAUAUCGGGAGGAACACCAGUGGCGAAGGCGGUUGCCUGGAGCUUUGCUGACGCUGAUGCGCGAAAGCGUGGGGAGCGAUCCGG
rnacentral:rRNA from 1 species